UACAGAGGUGGCAAGCGUUGUUCGGAAUUACUGGGCGUAAAGGGCGCGUAGGCGGUUCGUUAAGUCCUGUGUGAAAUCCCCCGGCUCAACUGGGGAACUGCACAGGAAACUAGCGGGCUUGAGUUCGGGAGAGGGAAGCGGAAUUCCGGGUGUAGCGGUGAAAUGGCGUAGAUAUCUGGAGGAACACCGGUGGCGAAGGCGGCAUCCUGGACCGACACUGACGCUGAGGUACGAAAGCGUGGGGAGCAAACAGG
rnacentral:rRNA from 1 species